GACGAACGCUGGCGGCGUGCCUAAUACAUGCAAGUCGAACGAGAGCGACCGGUGCUUGCACUGGUCAAUCUAGUGGCGAACGGGUGAGUAACACGUGGGUAACCUGCCCAUCAGAGGGGGAUAACAUCCGGAAACGGGCGCUAAAACCGCAUAGGUCUUCGAACCGCAUGGUUUGAAGAGGAAAAGAGGCGCAAGCUACUGCUGAUGGAUGGACCCGCGGUGCAUUAGCUAGUUGGUGAGGUAACGGCUCACCAAGGCCGUGAUGCAUAGCCGACCUGAGAGGGUGAUCGGCCACAUUGGGACUGAGACACGGCCCAAACUCCUACGGGAGGCAGCAGUAGGGAAUCUUCCGCAAUGGACGCAAGUCUGACGGAGCAACGCCGCGUGAGUGAAGAAGGUUUUCGGAUCGUAAAACUCUGUUGUUAGAGAAGAACAAGUGCUAGAGUAACUGUUAGCGCCUUGACGGUAUCUAACCAGAAAGCCACGGCUAACUACGUG
rnacentral:rRNA from 1 species